UAAGCAUAUCAAUAAGCGG
rnacentral:snRNA from 1 species